CCUACGGGAGGCUGCAGUGAGGAAUAUUGGUCAAUGGACGAGAGUCUGAACCAGCCAAGUAGCGUGAAGGAUGACUGCCCUAUGGGUUGUAAACUUCUUUUAUAUGGGAAUAAAAUGUUCCACGUGUGGGAUUUUGUAUGUACCAUAUGAAUAAGGAUCGGCUAACUCCGUGCCAGCAGCCGCGGUAAUACGGAGGAUCCGAGCGUUAUCCGGAUUUUUUGGGUUUAAAGGGAGCGUAGGUGGAUUGUUAAGUCAGUUGUGAAAGUUUGCGGCUCAACCGUAAAAUUGCAGUUGAAACUGGCAGUCUUGAGUACAGUAGAGGUGGGCGGAAUUCGUGGUGUAGCGGUGAAAUGCUUAGAUAUCACGAAGAACUCCGAUUGCGAAGGCAGCUCACUGGACUGCAACUGACACUGAGGCUCGAAAGUGUGGGUAUCAAACAGGAUUAGAUACCCCAGUAGUC
rnacentral:rRNA from 1 species